CACAUUGGAAGGAUUUUUUCGGGGGUGGAUCCGAAGUCUCUAGAAGGUUAACAAAGGUUCUCCAUCCCCUACUCCUACUCAACACGUCCCCAUAGAAUGGCACAGAACGGUAACAUGUCUCUCGAUUAUCCAAGCAGCGGUAUACGGGGAAAUCCAACCCAUUGGGCGGAUGGGUUACAUGGCUAAUUGAGAGGG
rnacentral:ribozyme from 1 species